UGUGAUCUGUCUAAAUAUUACCUCUCCCACGGCCCCCAGAGCUCCCAUCCGUCAGGAGGCAGGAACGGCUCUCCCAUGCAGAAGGCUUCGGUCUGCGGCUGAAAUAUUGAUCACAGCGGCUCAUGGAAGAGCUGCCACCCAAAGCCCGUGACAGCGCUCGGGUCACUGUGACAAAGACAGAGGCUUGCUCGAGUUUCAAAUGCAGCCUGAUUCAAAUAUUCCCUUUUUCUUCUUCAAAAACGCAUAAAGUGCUGAUAAAUGGUUUGAAGAGAGAGGCACUAAAAGGAUGAAACUCCAGAGAAGAGACCAAACGGGGCGAGUGCGGUAUCAGGCGUCGACGGGGAAUGCAAACAAGUGGCCAUCUCACUCUCCACCAUCUGCGCUCUGAAGACAGCGGCCACAAGCAUUCUUCAAAC